AUUAAGAAUUAUUGUAUUUUUUAAUAUGCUAAGGAUAUUGAAUUUUGUUCUUAAAAUUAAUCUCAAUUCCAAACAGGAUAUGAGACUGAUGUUUUAUCUCAGACCUAAAGGUUUAGCAUCUAUUAAUAGCUUACAAACUGUUAAAAUGCCCGACUCCUGAUCCUGCUCAGGGAGAUUGAAACCUGGGCAUCACCAAGAUGCCAGUUUGCCAUACUUCUCUCAUGGACCCCGACACCAAACUCAUUGGAAACAUGGCACUGUUACCUAACAGAAAUCAGUUCAAAGGACCCGCCCCUAAAGAAACAAAAGAUAUGGAUAUUGUAGAUGAAGCCAUCUAUUACUUCAAGGCAGAUGAGCUAGGCUUCAAAAACUAUUAAGAAUGAAGCUGACAGGACCUUGAUAUAUAGAACUGUCUACAUUUCUGAGUGUCUAAAGAAACUCUAAGGCACAAAACUCCAAAAGUGCAAUUUCAAAAGCCAAGGCGAUAAAGAAAUCCAUACACUGAGAAUCAUUAAUUUUCCCACUCCUGGAGAGCCUAGUAUUAAGUUUUCUACUGAAUACAAUUCAUGCCAAACCUGCAAACAGAGGAAUAUGAAGUGAUGAGAGCCUGUUUACAACAGCUAAGGCAAGAGACUGGACUGAGAUUUUUGUGAGAAAGUUUUUGACCCUGAGAAUGAUAAACCCAACAAGUGGUAAACUUGCUUUGUGAAGAGACAGUUCGUGAACAAGAACAAGACUCUUUCAGAACCUGGACAGUGAAGGGAGCCUGGGCAGCAUUUUCCAGUAAGAUGUAUACAAUCCUUUGCCUUUAUUUCAUAAAGCUUUAUAUGGAACAGACUAGAGCAUGUCUGUACUUGAAAAGCUCUUGAUCAAAAUUUGGGUGGGGGAGGGGUGAGUGGGUUAUAAUGAUUGAAAUUUUCUGCAGUGUUAAGCUGGUGCUUAAUAAGAACAAGUAAUAAUAAAAAAAUUUCUAACAUU